rnacentral:rRNA from 1 species
GUUUGAUCCUGGCUCAGAUUGAACGCUGGCGGAAUGCUUUACACAUGCAAGUCGAACGGCAGCACGGACUUCGGUCUGGUGGCGAGUGGCGAACGGGUGAGUAAUACAUCGGAACGCGUCCUGUAAUGGGGGAUAACCUGGCGAAAGCCAGGCUAAUACCGCAUACGUCCUGAGGGAGAAAGCGGGGGAUCGCAAGACCUCGCGUUAUAGGAGCGGCCGAUGUCGGAUUAGCUAGUUGGUGGGGUAAAGGCCUACCAAGGCGACGAUCCGUAGCUGGUUUGAGAGAACGACCAGCCACACUGGGACUGAGACACGGCCCAGACUCCUACGGGAGGCAGCAGUGGGGAAUUUUGGACAAUGGGGGCAACCCUGAUCCAGCCAUUCCGCGUGAGUGAAGAAGGCCUUCGGGUUGUAAAGCUCUUUCGGCCGGGAAGAAAUCGUGCGGGCCAAUACCCUGUAUGGAUGACGGUACCGGAAGAAGAAGCACCGGCUAACUACGUGCCAGCAGCCGCGGUAAUACGUAGGGUGCGAGCGUUAAUCGGAAUUACUGGGCGUAAAGGGUGCGCAGGCGGUUUUGUAAGACAGGUGUGAAAUCCCCGGGCUUAACCUGGGAACUGCGCUUGUGACUGCAAGACUUGAGUGCGGCAGAGGGGGGUGGAAUUCCACGUGUAGCAGUGAAAUGCGUAGAGAUGUGGAGGAACACCGAUGGCGAAGGCAGCCCCCUGGGUCGACACUGACGCUCAUGCACGAAAGCGUGGGGAGCAAACAGGAUUAGAUACCCUGCUAGUCCACGCCCUAAACGAUGCGAACUAUGUGUCGGGGAAGGAGACUUCUUUAGUACUG